rnacentral:rRNA from 1 species
GACGAAGGUGGCGAGCGUUGUUCGGAAUCACUGGGCAUAAAGCGCACGUAGGCGGCGGCGUAAGUUGGAUGUGAAAUCCCCCGGCCCAACCGGGGAACUGCGUCCAGUACUGCGUUGCUUGAGGAUCCAAGGGGUGCAUGGAAUUCCCGGUGGAGCGGUGAAAUGCGUAGAGAUCGGAAAGAACACCAACGGCGAAAGCACUCUGCUGGGCCGACACUGACACUGAGAGACGAAAGCUAGGGGAGCGAAUGGG